rnacentral:rRNA from 1 species
GGUUAAGCGACUAAGCGUACACGGUGGAUGCCCUGGCAGUCAGAGGCGAUGAAGGACGUGCUAAUCUGCGAAAAGCGUCGGUAAGGUGAUAUGAACCGUUACAGCCGGCGAUGUCCGAAUGGGGAAACCCAGUGCAAUUCGUUGCACUAUCGUUAACUGAAUACAUAGGUUAACGAGGCGAACCGGGGGAACUGAAACAUCUAAGUACCCCGAGGAAAAGAAAUCAACCGAGAUUCCCCCAGUAGCGGCGAGCGAACGGGGAGCAGCCCAGAGUCUGAAUCAGCUUGUGUGUUAGUGGAACGGUCUGGAAAGUCCGACGGUACAGGGUGAUAGUCCCGUACACCAAAAUGCACAGGCUGUGAACUCGAAGAGUAGGGCGGGACACGUGGUAUCCUGUCUGAAUAUGGGGGGACCAUCCUCCAAGGCUAAAUACUCCUGACUGACCGAUAGUGAACCAGUACCGUGAGGGAAAGGCGAAAAGAACCCCGGCGAGGGGAGUGAAAAAGAACCUGAAACCGUGUACGUACAAGCAGUGGGAGCACCUUCGGGUGUGACUGCGUACCUUUUGUAUAAUGGGUCAGCGACUUAUAUUCUGUAGCAAGGUUAACCGUAUAGGGGAGCCGCAGGGAAACCGAGUCUUAACUGGGCGUUAAGUUGCAGGGUAUAGACCCGAAACCCGGUGAUCUAGCCAUGGGCAGGUUGAAGGUUGGGUAACACUAACUGGAGGACCGAACCGACUAAUGUUGAAAAAUUAGCGGAUGACUUGUGGCUGGGGGUGAAAGGCCAAUCAAACCGGGAGAUAGCUGGUUCUCCCCGAAAGCUAUUUAGGUAGCGCCUCGUGAAUUCAUCUUCGGGGGUAGAGCACUGUUUCGGCUAGGGGGUCAUCCCGACUUACCAACCCGAUGCAAACUACGAAUACCGAAGAAUGUUAUCACGGGAGACACACGGCGGGUGCUAACGUCCGUCGUGAAGAGGGAAACAACCCAGACCGCCAGCUAAGGUCCCAAAGUCAUGGUUAAGUGGGAAACGAUGUGGGAAGGCACAGACAGCCAGGAUGUUGGCUUAGAAGCAGCCAUCAUUUAAAGAAAGCGUAAUAGCUCACUGGUCGAGUCGGCCUGCGCGGAAGAUGUAACGGGGCUAAACCAUGCACCGAAGCUGCGGCAGCGACACUAUGUGUUGUUGGGUAGGGGAGCGUUCUGUAAGCCUGCGAAGGUGUGCUGUGAGGCAUGCUGGAGGUAUCAGAAGUGCGAAUGCUGACAUAAGUAACGAUAAAGCGGGUGAAAAGCCCGCUCGCCGGAAGACCAAGGGUUCCUGUCCAACGUUAAUCGGGGCAGGGUGAGUCGACCCCUAAGGCGAGGCCGAAAGGCGUAGUCGAUGGGAAACAGGUUAAUAUUCCUGUACUUGGUGUUACUGCGAAGGGGGGACGGAGAAGGCUAUGUUAGCCGGGCGACGGUUGUCCCGGUUUAAGCAUGUAGGCUGAUUGUCCAGGCAAAUCCGGAUAAUCAAGGCUGAGGUGUGAUGACGAGGCACUACGGUGCUGAAGUAACAAAUGCCCUGCUUCCAGGAAAAGCCUCUAAGCAUCAGGUAACAUUAAAUCGUACCCCAAACCGACACAGGUGGUCAGGUAGAGAAUACCAAGGCGCUUGAGAGAACUCGGGUGAAGGAACUAGGCAAAAUGGUGCCGUAACUUCGGGAGAAGGCACGCUGGUGUGUAGGUGAAGUCCCUGCGGAUGGAGCUGAGACCAGUCGAAGAUACCAGCUGGCUGCAACUGUUUAUUAAAAACACAGCACUGUGCAAACACGAAAGUGGACGUAUACGGUGUGACGCCUGCCCGGUGCCGGAAGGUUAAUUGAUGGGGUUAUCCGUAAGGAGAAGCUCUUGAUCGAAGCCCCGGUAAACGGCGGCCGUAACUAUAACGGUCCUAAGGUAGCGAAAUUCCUUGUCGGGUAAGUUCCGACCUGCACGAAUGGCGUAAUGAUGGCCAGGCUGUCUCCACCCGAGACUCAGUGAAAUUGAACUCGCUGUGAAGAUGCAGUGUACCCGCGGCAAGACGGAAAGACCCCGUGAACCUUUACUAUAGCUUGACACUGAACAUUGAGCCUUGAUGUGUAGGAUAGGUGGGAGGCUUUGAAGCGUGGACGCCAGUCUGCGUGGAGCCAACCUUGAAAUACCACCCUUUAAUGUUUGAUGUUCUAACGUUGGCCCCUUACCGGGGUUGCGGACAGUGUCUGGUGGGUAGUUUGACUGGGGCGGUCUCCUCCCAAAGCGUAACGGAGGAGCACGAAGGUUAGCUAAUCCUGGUCGGACAUCAGGAGGUUAGUGCAAUGGCAUAAGCUAGCUUGACUGCGAGCGUGACGGCGCGAGCAGGUGCGAAAGCAGGUCAUAGUGAUCCGGUGGUUCUGAAUGGAAGGGCCAUCGCUCAACGGAUAAAAGGUACUCCGGGGAUAACAGGCUGAUACCGCCCAAGAGUUCAUAUCGACGGCGGUGUUUGGCACCUCGAUGUCGGCUCAUCACAUCCUGGGGCUGAAGUAGGUCCCAAGGGUAUGGCUGUUCGCCAUUUAAAGUGGUACGCGAGCUGGGUUUAGAACGUCGUGAGACAGUUCGGUCCCUAUCUGCCGUGGGCGCUGGAGAAUUGAGGGGGGCUGCUCCUAGUACGAGAGGACCGGAGUGGACGCAUCACUGGUGUUCGGGUUGUCAUGCCAAUGGCACUGCCCGGUAGCUAAAUGCGGAAGAGAUAAGUGCUGAAAGCAUCUAAGCACGAAACUUGCCCCGAGAUGAGUUCUCCCUGAGACUUUAAGUCUCCUGAAGGAACGUUGAAGACGACGACGUUGAUAGGCCGGGUGUGUAAGCGCAGCGAUGCGUUGAGCUAACCGGUACUAAUGAACCGUGAGGCUUAACCUUAC